UACGUAGGGGGCAAGCGUUGUCCGGAUUUAUUGGGCGUAAAGAGCGUGUAGGCGGUUUGGUAGGUCCGCUGUGAAAACUCGAGGCUCAACCUCGAGACGCCGGUGGAAACCAUCAGGCUAGAGUCCGGAAGAGGAGAGUGGAAUUCCUGGUGUAGCGGUGAAAUGCGCAGAUAUCAGGAGGAACACCGGUGGCGAAAGCGGCUCACUGGACCACAACUGACGCUGAGGCACGAAAGCUAGGGGAGCAAACAGG
rnacentral:rRNA from 1 species